GUAGUCUCGCACAGAUGCAUAUCAAUAAGCGGAGGAAAAGAAACUAACAAGGAUUCCCUCAGUAACGGCGAGUGAAGCGGGAAGAGCUCAAAUUUGAAAUCUUGAAAGGUCACCUUUCGCGAAUUGUAGUUUAAAGAAGUGUUUUCUGUUACGAUCGUAAUAUAAGUUCUUUGGAAUAGGACAUCAUAGAGGGUGAGAAUCCCGUAUGAUUGACCGAUUAUUGUCAGCUGUGUGAUACACUUUCAAAGAGUCGGAUUGUUUGGGAAUGCAGUCCCAAAAUGGGUAGGUAAAUUUCAUCUAAGGCUAAAUAUUGGCGAGAGACCGAUAGCGAACAAGUACCGUGAGGGAAAGAUGAAAAGAACUUUGAAAAGAGAGUUAAACAAUACGUGAAAUUGUCAAAAGGGAAGCGUUUAACACCAGUGUUGUUUUCUGAAAAUCAACCUCUGUUAGCUUUAUGCAUGUUUGUUUAGACCUAAUCAGCUAUCUUGCAUGUUCUAUUGUUUGCAGUGGUGCACUUUUCAGUUUACAGGUCAACAUCAGUUUUUUUUACCGUAAAAAAGUUAAAGAAAGGUAGCUCAUGGCUCCGGUCGUGAGUGUUAUAGUCUUUUUCCUAUGUGGUAGGAGAGACUGAGGUCUGCAGUGUAGGCUAUUUGGCUAGAUACUCAGGUGCUAUGUGAUACCAUUUCAUAAACAACUUGUUGAUUAUGUUUUGUCUAUUGCAUACUCGCUUGUACUAUCAUACCUACGCUUAGGAUGUUGAAGAUGUAGCACAUCAU
rnacentral:rRNA from 1 species